UAACAUCUUAUCUAGAAAUUUCCAAAAUCUAAGUCAUAACACCAGUGCAUUUAGAUAAUAGAACGAAUAACGAUAAAGCCCUCUAUAUAAUGGAUGGUCAGGAUCCAGUAUUUGGAACACGAGACAAUGAAGUGGUUCAUACUAGUGAGCUUAGUUGUGGCUGUAGUGGCUGAGGAAGCUGGCGAGCUGCCCUCAGCUGAGCCUUGUGAUGUGGAGGCGUGCAAGCUGCCGGAAUGUAGGUGCUCCACCACUGACAUCCCUGGAGGAUUGUCCCCAAGGAACACUCCUCAGUUUGUCUCCCUAACCUUCGACGAUAGCGUCAACAUUCUCAACAUGGAGACCUAUCGAAGACUGAUCUUCAACCGUCGCAACUCCAACGGCUGUCCUGCCGGCACCACGUUCUACGUGAGCCACGAGUAUACCAACUACCAGCUCAUCAACGAGCUGUACAACCGCGGGUACGAGAUCGCGCUCCACUCCAUCUCACACCGUGUGCCGCAGACCUGGUGGGCCACCGCCAGCCUCGAGGAGCUCAGGCAGGAUAUUGGCGAUCAGAAGGAACAGAUGGCUCACUUCGCUAACAUCCCUGCAAAUCAAAUUAAAGGUGUCCGUCUUCCCUUCCUGCAAAUGAGUGGAAAUACGAGUUUCCAAGUAAUGAAAGAGUACGAGCUUCUCUACGACCACUCCUGGCCCACCGCGUCCCUUAGGGACCCUGGUCUCUGGCCCUACACUCUGCACCAUGAAUCUACCCAGGAUUGCUUCGCACCUCCUUGCCCUACCGCUUCCAUCCCCGGACCCUGGGUGUUCCCCAUGAUAACCUGGAUUGAUCCCAAUGGAUUCCCAUGUUCUAUGGUGGACGCUUGCACUAGCUUCCCCGAUCGUGAGGACGAGAACGCGUGGUUCGCGUUCAUAAUGCAGAACUUCGAGCGGCACUACUUCGGGAACCGCGCGCCCUUCGGCUUCUACGUGCACGAGGGCUACAUCAGGCCUAUCCGGCUGUCGAAAGGGCACUAGCGCGAUUCCUGAACGUCAUUAACCAUCUCAACGAUGUAUUUAUGGCGAAUGCUGUCGAUAUCGUUGAAUGGGUGAAGAACCCAGUGCCAGUGAACGAAUACAGAGCGAGACCAUGUAAGAGCGUCACGCCUUCCUUCUGCCCGGCGAGUAGUUGCGGUCCUUUAAUCGGACAGCACAACCAGAUGAGCUACUGGAUACCGAUCUGCAAUGUCUGUCCUGCCAACUACCCUUGGGUGGGAAAUCCACUCGGACGUUAAUAUAGUCACUAGACAUUAAUAUAACAUCUUUAAUAAUAAGUUUUAUAUCGAAGUUGAAGAUAUAGUCAUCGUUAAUGAGACUGCAACAAGACUCAUUACAGACAAAAGUUAAUAAUUGAGAUUUAUUACUAUUUCUGUAUUGUUUUUAAUAAAUAAAUCUGUAAUACUUU